rnacentral:sRNA from 1 species
CCGUUGCCUGGGCGGCUCCCCGUGGAGAGAACCAGGAUGUGUAGGCCGGUAGAGCACAGCGACUACCCAUCACCGGCAGCC